CCUGACUGAACCCUCUGGAGACCAUGAAUGGAGUGAGAGAUCCACUUCAUCCUUUCAACAGACAUCAAGUGACAGGUACCUGACUGAACCCUCUGGAAACCAAGAAUGGAGUGAGAGAUCCACUUCAUCCUUACAACAGACACCAAGUGACCUGACUA